AGUGAACGCUGGCGGUAGGCCUAACACAUGCAAGUCGAACGGCAGCACAGUAAGAGCUUGCUCUUACGGGUGGCGAGUGGCGGACGGGUGAGGAAUACAUCGGAAUCUACUUUUUCGUGGGGGAUAACGUAGGGGAACUUACGCUAAUACCGCAUACGACCUACGGGUGAAAGCAGGGGAUCUUCGGACCUUGCGCGAUUGAAUGAGCCGAUGUCGGAUUAGCUAGUUGGCGGGGUAAAGGCCCACCAAGGCGACGAUCCGUAGCUGGUCUGAGAGGAUGAUCAGCCACACUGGAACUGAGACACGGUCCAGACUCCUACGGGAGGCAGCAGUGGGGAAUAUUGGACAAUGGGCGCAAGCCUGAUCCAGCCAUACCGCGUGGGUGAAGAAGGCCUUCGGGUUGUAAAGCCCUUUUGUUGGGAAAGAAAGGCAGCAGGUUAAAACCCCGCUGUUCUGACGGUACCCAAAGAAUAAGCACCGGCUAACUUCGUG
rnacentral:rRNA from 1 species